rnacentral:rRNA from 1 species
CACGUGAGUAACCUGCCCUUGACUCUGGGAUAAGCCUGGGAAACUGGGUCUAAUACCGGAUAUGACUCCUCAUCGCAUGGUGGGGGGUGGAAAGCUUUUGUGGUUUUGGAUGGACUCGCGGCCUAUCAGCUUGUUGGUGGGGUAAUGGCCUACCAAGGCGACGACGGGUAGCCGGCCUGAGAGGGUGACCGGCCACACUGGGACUGAGACACGGCCCAGACUCCUACGGGAGGCAGCAGUGGGGAAUAUUGCACAAUGGGCGCAAGCCUGAUGCAGCGACGCCGCGUGAGGGAUGACGGCCUUCGGGUUGUAAACCUCUUUCAGUAGGGAAGAAGCGUAAGUGACGGUACCUGCAGAAGAAGCGCCGGCUAACUACGUGCCAGCAGCCGCGGUAAUACGUAGGGCGCAAGCGUUAUCCGGAAUUAUUGGGCGUAAAGAGCUCGUAGGCGGUUUGUCGCGUCUGCUGUGAAAGACCGGGGCUCAACUCCGGUUCUGCAGUGGGUACGGGCAGACUAGAGUGCAGUAGGGGAGACUGGAAUUCCUGGUGUAGCGGUGAAAUGCGCAGAUAUCAGGAGGAACACCGAUGGCGAAGGCAGGUCUCUGGGCUGUAACUGACGCUGAGGAGCGAAAGCAUGGGGAGCGAACAGGAUUAGAUACCCUGGUAGUCCAUGCCGUAAACGUUGGGCACUAGGUGUGGGGGACAUUCCACGUUUUCCGCGCCGUAGCUAACGCAUUAAGUGCCCCGCCUGGGGAGUACGGCCGCAAGGCUAAAACUCAAAGGAAUUGACGGGGGCCCGCACAAGCGGCGGAGCAUGCGGAUUAAUUCGAUGCAACGCGAAGAACCUUACCAAGGCUUGACAUGAACCGGAAAGACCUGGAAACAGGUGCCCCGCUUGCGGUCGGUUUACAGGUGGUGCAUGGUUGUCGUCAGCUCGUGUCGUGAGAUGUUGGGUUAAGUCCCGCAACGAGCGCAACCCUCGUUCUAUGUUGCCAGCGGUUCGGCCGGGGACUCAUAGGAGACUGCCGGGGUCAACUCGGAGGAAGGUGGGGACGACGUCAAAUCAUCAUGCCCCUUAUGUCUUGGGCUUCACGCAUGCUACAAUGGCCGGUACAAAGGGUUGCGAUACUGUGAGGUGGAGCUAAUCCCAAAAAGCCGGUCUCAGUUCGGAUUGGGGUCUGCAACUCGACCCCAUGAAGUCGGAGUCGCUAGUAAUCGCAGAUCAGCAACGCUGCGGUGAAUACGUUCCCGGGCCUUGUACACACCGCCCGUCAAGUCACGAAAGUUGGUAACACCCGAAGCCGGUGGCCUAACCCUU